GUUUUCUGGUAAUCGCGGUUUGCUUUAUGCAGACUGAGGAAAGUCCAAGCUUGCACAAGCUGAGAUGCUUGUAGUGAUCGUGCUUGCUGAAAAAAUAAGGCAAGGUACCUUUAUGGUAACGGCAGACAAAAAAGCUAAGGUUUGACUAUGCUUUAGUAGUUUUGAAAAGUGCCACAGUGACGAAACAAUAUCGGAAACGAUAUUGGUGGAACGAGGUAAACCCCGCGAGCAGGUAACCCAAACUUUGGUAGGGGCGCUUCAUGACGGAAAUGAACUAAUCAUGGGGGCAGGCAUUUUGCCUGGAGAUAGAUGAUUACCACCGAUUUCGGUUUCCUGAACCGGAUGACGUACGGAACGUGGCUUAUAGAG
rnacentral:RNase_P_RNA from 2 species